UGCGUAGGCGGAUCAGUAAGUCAGUGGUGAAAUCUCUCGGCUCAACCGGGAAACUGCCAUUGAUACUGUUGAUCUUGAGUUCGGUAGAGGUAGGCGGAAUGUGUAAUGUAGCGGUGAAAUGCUUAGAUAUUACACAGAACACCAAUUGCGUAGGCAGCUUACUAGACCGACACUGACGCUGAGGCACGAAAGCGUGGGGAGCGAACAGGAUUAGAUACCCUGGUAGUCC
rnacentral:rRNA from 1 species